rnacentral:rRNA from 1 species
AUUGAACGCUGGCGGCAGGCCUAACACAUGCAAGUCGGGCGCGCGGCGGACGGGUGAGUAAUGUAUGGGGAUCUGCCUGAUGGAGGGGGAUAACUACUGGAAACGGUAGCUAAUACCGCAUACCAUCAGAUGAACCCAUAUGGGAUUAGCUGGUAGGUGAGGUAACGGCUCACCUAGGCGACGAUCCCUAGCUGGGCUGAGAGGAUGAUAAGCCACCCGGGAACUGCGACACGGCCCAGACUCCUACGGGAGGCAGCAGUGGGGAAUAUUGCACAAUGGGGUAAAGCCUGAUGCAGCCAUGCCGCGUGUAUGAAGAAGGCCUUCGGGUUGUAAAGUACUUUAAGUGGGGAGGCGUUACCGACAGAAGAAGCACCGGCUAACUCCGUGUCAGCCGCCGCGGUAAUAC